rnacentral:misc_RNA from 1 species
CAACCCUCGAGCCCCCUUGGGGGCUUGGUGUUGGGGCUCGGCACGUCCCUAGCGGCGCGCCGUCCCCGAAAUCUAGUGGCGGUCUCGCGGCAGCCUCCUUUGCGCAGUAGUAUUACCUCGCACUGGAACGUCGCUUGGCCACGCCGUUAAACCCCCCACUUCUGAAA